GAGUUGUGCGCUUUUGUUGAUAUAUGCUUGCACCUGCAGCUGGUCAAGCAUAUGUGCGAUUACACCAGCAGCUAGGGGCUUCAGCUGUUGCUCUCAAGUUCUAACUUGGUCCGAGCCUCGUCCAAUUAACACCUGGGGAUCCUACGGUCCUGCAUGAACAUACCAACGAGUUUGAAAUCACAAAAUGGACUCACUCAAACUCUCGAAAUGCCCAAAACAGCAUCUAAGCUAAGAGUCAUACCCCAAAACUAAUUAAAUCAAAAAUUUGAACUUUAAGUUCUUCAAUUUACACCCAAUGGGUGAAACGUACUUAAUCUCAGAAUGACACCAAAUUUUGUGAGCAACUCUUAAAGGAUAAUACAGAACUACUCCCGGUCUCAAAAUCCCAAUUAGAACUCAAUAUCACCAAAACCUACUCCCAACCAAAUUUAAUAAACUUCAAAAUCUUCAAAGAACCAACUUUCAUUAUUAGACGCCGAAACUCUCCUAGGUCAUCCAAAACCCUUCCUAACAUAGCCCAAGUCCAAAAUCAUCAUAAGAACCUAUUAGAACCAUCAACAAUUCUGACGCCAUUUGCUCAAAAUAUUGACCGCAGUCAAACUUAGCCUUUUAAAGCCAACUUAAGAAACCAAGUGUUUCGAUUUCAACCUGAACCCUUUCAAAUCCCAAAAUAACAUCCCAUAAGUCAUAAAAUAGUAAAAGAACAUACAAAGAGUCUUAUUUAGGGUAAUGCAGUUCUAAAAAGCAAAAGGACCAGUCAGGUCGUUACAAGAAGAGUCUGAAUCUCACUGUAUGGCUUUUGCAUGCAACUUCCUCAACAAGCUAAGUCUAGAUUCUAUUUGGGGGUCUUGUCCAACCUAUCCACGUAAGUGUGUCCCAACACCUCAUCAGUCUAACAAUGAGGUGGAAAGUCUCUGGGUAGUUUCUUGUAUGUUUACCAAGCUUGACAAAGAGUAUCUGCAUCUCGUUGUUGAAACCCAAGAAUUUGGCUCCUAAAAGAACUUUUCCUCUUAGUGAGGAAAAACAUGAUUAGGAAUUUUCGUGCUAGGUUAUCCCAAGCGUGGAUCGAGUUUGUGGGCUCUUUGUUUAACCAUUCCUUUGCUUCCCCCAAUAGAGAAAAACGGAAAAACUUUAUCCUGGCAUUGUCCUUGGAGACGUUCAGGUAGUUGUAUGAAUCUAUAAUCUCCAAAAACUUAUGUAUAUGCCUUUGGAGUUCUUCACUCAACAAACACACAAAUAGCCAUGUGGAUUGAAUCAGUUGCACCAUGUACUGAUUAGCUCGAAGUACCCAAUUAUAUCAGGCUUCAUAAUAGCUUGAGUCAUGUAGCAAGACUAGAUAUUGCGACCUCAAUCACUAGUCUGUAUGUAUUCUCUGCCAUAUCAAUUGGAUGUGGUUGGACUAUAAUACUUAACUCUGUAGUUCUUGCUAUUGCUUCCGCCUCCCUCCUUAACCUGUGGAAAAGUCUUUUGUGUUUAGGAUCAAAAGGUAAAAGAUCCUUCAAACAAUUACUUCUUCUUAGAAUUCAAUAUGAACAUAUGAAGAGUCAGAAACACCAAAACAAAUCAAAAUCUCGAACAACAACAAUAACAACAACAACAACCACCAACCAACCUAGUAUGUUCCCAAUAGGUGGGGUUAGGGGGAAGGUAAUAUGUAUACAGACCUUACCCCUACAUAAUGCAAGUAGAGAGGUGUUUCUAAUAGACUCUUGGCUCAAGAAGGGUAAAAAGAAGAGGAAAGCAAGAAGGAAGAAAGAAGAAGAGAAAAGAAAAAGGGAGAGAUAAAUGGUAAGUAAUACCAAAUGAUAGCAACAUGAAAUACAAUCUUGAGGCGAACAAAACCACAUAACACAAUAAAAAUAUAAGAAUAUUAAGGGACAUGCGUGAUACUAAGACUAUAGGUGAGCAACUAAAAAUUACCCACUAACCUUCUACCUUAAUCCUCGACCUCCACACCCUCCUAUCAAAGGUCAUGUCCUCAGUAAGCUGAAACAGUGCCAUGACAUAUCUAAUCACCUCUCCCCAACACUUCUUAGGCCUACCUAAAGCUCUUCGCAAACUCACGAUGCCAACCUCUCACGCCUCCUAAUAGGAGCAUCAAUGCUUCUUCUCUUAAUAUGUCUGAACCAUCUUAGACUCGGCUCCCGCAUCUUGUCCUCCACGUAGGCUACUCCUACUUUUAUCCUAUAUAGAAUAAUUCUUAAUCUUAUCUAUCCUGGUACACCUACACAUCUAUCUUUUCAUCCUCAUCUAUGUUACUUUCAUCUUCUGCCUCAUGCAACAUAGUCGAUCGAACCACCACUCCAUAAAACAUACGAUUAUGUCUUGGCGGCAUAUUUUUAUCACAUAAAACACAUGAAUAAAGCCUUCAUUUCUUCCAUUUCCUUUCGAUGCUAUGUUCGGCAUCUUCGUCAGUCUCCCUAUUACCUUGGAUAAUAGACCUGAGAUACUUAAAACUCACUCUCUUGGGGAUAACUUGAGCAUCUAGCUUUACCUUGACGUCUGCUUUAUGGGUCCUGUCACUGAAUUAGUAUUCCAAGUAUUCUGUUUUGGUUCUUCUCAAUCUGAAACCUUUAUCUCUGAGGUCUAUCUCAAAACCUCCAACCUCCCAUUAACUCUGCUUCGCAUCUCGUCAAUCAAUACUAUAUAAUCGACAAAUAGCAUGCACCAAGUCACCUCCCUCGAACAAAACAAAUAUAAUAUUAUUUUAAACAAGUAAAUAAUUUAUGAAUCCCUGGAAACAACACCAAAAAUUUGUUGCGGUCAAAUGUAAUAAAGUGAUGAAAAAUAACGUUCCUAUAAGGAUUUAUGAUCAACUAUUAUCCAAUAUAAACUAUUUAUAAAUUUACCGCUUAAGUGGUUGUGAAGAAAAUGAUUUUGAAUUUUUACUAACUAAAUUGCUACAAAACUAAUAAGCAAAUAAGAAAAUAUGAUAGCAGGUAUAGCAAAGAAACACUUCAAAAAUUGAAUGACAUGGGGAUAAUCCAAGGUUAUGGGAUUAAUGUCUCUCUUAUUGCAUUUUUCCGGUUGAUAUAAUCACUUGACUUAUCUAGUUAGUUGAUUAGCAGGGUUUAUUAUGCCCAUAAAUUUCUUUCGACGCUUCGAUUCCCAAUUCAAGCCAAGCUAAUACUAUAUGAUUAUAGAAUUAAAAUUGACAAGAACGCAUGUAUUUGCAAAUAACUCCUAUUUGACUCGUCAACGUCACCAGAAAUCAUGUAAGGGCUCAAAUUACCUCGAAGAGAAGGUGCUAGAUAUUCUUCGAGGUCCACACCUUUGGGUCCCUACCGAAAUUUAUACUUAUGCAGAUUACAAAUCAUAAUUGUCGUAAAAGAUCAUAUAAGUGAAGGAAACUACGGAAUUUAAAGGUUUUUAUUAAUGAACACGUGCAAAGAAACUGGACAAUAAUUAGACAAAUAAUUACAAGUCUGUAGAGGUUAUAAGGUACAACUUAAUUUGUCUUUAUUUAAUGACUAAGUGUGAAUAGCAAACAUAUAGAGGGGGGAUGGGGGAGGGGACCAAAGUAUUUUAGCCUAAAGGAUCACCCCGUGCAACAUAAAUAAUACUCCGUAACUCCUUUGAGGUAGGAGUUUCUCAUAUUAUUCAGCAGGCCCAAACUAUCAUCUCCUGCUAUAGCAUUACCAUGCUAAAGUUGUUUACCUAAAGGUGCUCUAAUUCAAUUCUAGGUCCUAUGUGUGCACUAUCCUUCCAAUGCCUACGGUCCAAGAGGCUUUAGACCUACUAUUAGGUGGUUCUACACUUUUAGGAUACUUAUAAAUUAUAAAACUAGCAUGCAUUCAAAACAUAUAGGACUACACAUAAAUGCACGAAAAUGGAUUAAGUUAACCACUACACAUAAACAACAAAUUAAACGCAAGGAGCUCAGCAAUAAACAGUUUGUAGCGUUAAGAUGCAUUUGCAUUACAAUAGUUAAUUCCUAUAGGCAUGAUUUCUAGGCGAUUAUGAUUUCCAACAGUUUACAAGCAGCGUUGCAACUUUAGGCUAACAGAGUUGCAAUUAUAGGCAUUAGUAACCUAUAGGAAUGAUCUCUAGUUAUAUGCGUAAUGAGGCUGUUAAACGAUCCCAAUACUCUGAAUUACUAGUGCUGAUUUUAUAGACAUGUUUCUUAGGCAGGUGACAAUGUCCUAUAGGCAGGUUUUGUAGUGAUUGGCAAUUGAAAUUGAUUUUAUAUACUUAUCCCUAUAGGAAGGUCUUCGAAGUGUGGCAAUGCGACGAAUUAACAAAAUAAUUGAUUAGUUGAUUAAAAUCCUAUAGUCAUGAUAUUUGAAGGAGUAACGUAAUAGAACAGUUGAUUAAUUGAAUAAUUAGGGUCAUAUAUUCAUGGUACCUAGAUUAACAAAGCAUAUGUAUACAUCGUAUAGGCAUGAUAUCUAAGUGCAAAGUAGUGACAUAAAACAAGCAUGGCAAAUACUUGGACUAAUGUGCUUGAAUAGUGUGCAAGUGAGGUGUGCCUGUCCCCUAUAAGAAUGAUUUCUGUGAGUGUGAAAAUAGGAGCAUGUCAAACGAAUAGCAUAAAAGGCAGUUAAAUCCUAUAGGCAAGUUUUCUACCCGUUUAUGCGAGCAUUAGAUUACCCCAACCCCAUUUUUAACUAAUUUUCCCAUCAUUCUGUUUUACAAGUUAUUACAGACCACAUUGAAUGAUUACAAACCCAAAUACAAAUACGAAUAACCUAGUAACACAUUUGGGACUUCAAAUAUGCUUAGAACAUCAUGUGGACAUCGGGCCCAAACUUCAGGUGUGGACAACGUGCUCCAGACCCCCAACACCAAAGGCAGGUGCAACAUACCAGGACUAAUCAAUCCCAACAAUUAAGCUAAUGGAUACCAGAUUAGCCAUAUAUGAAACAGAACUAUGCAUGGAGUAAUUUAACUUAGUUUUCACAAGUAAAAGAACUGCAGUUUCAGCCAAUAUACAAGGGCAUUCUAAGUUAAUAGGAAUCAAAGGUACAGACGAGGAAGUAAUUCUAGAAAAUCCAAUUAAUAAGGGCAAGAUAAAGUACCACAAACCAUUGAAAACAUUGUUUUAAAAUAGAACCAACUCAAAGAACUGCAUACGACAGCCAAGCAGAAUCAUACACAAGAAGAGAGAGGAGUACAAUCUUCCUAUAAAAAUUCUAACGGGAAAGCCUUGCAUAAAAAUCAUAUUGGUAACAUAAUUUGGCAAACCAACUUAGUUGAUCGUGAGAUUUAAUAAGAUGGACACUAACUGCAACACGAGAUUCUAAGAAAUCAUAGUAGGUAAAAGAUAUGUAACCUGAAGCUAACAAGACAAGCAGACAUUAGGAUUCAUGGUAGAUGAAAGUAUAAACCUUAGGUUAGUAAGAUAGGCAAUUACAAAGCCUAGUGCUAAUUAAUCAUAUACAAGAAGAGGCUGAACAUUGAAAUUGACACUAGGAAGCCCUAGGAAACAAUUAGAAACAUAGAGUAGAGCAGAUCACACAAUGGAAUUACAAGAAAUAUGGCAUACUAUUUUUUAGAGAUUCAGGCAGUGAUGACAUUGAAAAAUUACAUGUUCAGUAAGAAAGUUAACCGGCUACACAUGAAUAACCUAGUAGAAGCAAUACAUCUGAACACAUUCGGGGCAAUGAACUCGUUUCUCACAAGAAUCUCAAGUAAGGAAGGGAGAUAGGCUCAAGCAAAUGGUAGGAAUAAGUACUUAGAAGAACAUAGAAUAGUAAACUAAACACGCGUAGGAGUACAUGAUCCGGGUUAACAAACUAGGAGAGUUCUAGUGUUAAAAGAAGUUUAAAAAUCACACAAUAACUUCAAGGAAAUAGGAUUGUAAACAGAGGUAGCAUGGUAACAUAUUGGUUUGCAAAAGUUCAUGAACACAAAAAAAUGAUAAAACUGUGAAGGUCAAAGGACUUACUAGUUACCAAUUGACAAACAAGUAGACACGAAGAACAAUUUCAACAAUAUCUCAAAGGGCAGUAGAAAAAUGAGCAGUAGAUCCGAGGAAUCUCAGUACGUUAGAGUCCCAAGGGUUUCGAAUGAACCUAGGGAAGUGCUUACACUGAGAAAGGUCCAAUAACUAAAUUUCGAUGACCCUGGCUUUCAGCUGGCCAAGAGACUACGCCUUAAAAUAGUAUAAUACAAGUGAGAGUGAGCUAAUAAUAGUAGUUUCAGUAAUUAAGUGAUAGUCAUUCAGACUUAGAGGGGUACGGGGAGGGGGGGUAUAUAGUGUCCAAACAAAUAUCCAAACAAGGAAACAUAAUAAAUCUAAUAUAAAUAAGGAAAGAAGAGCAUGCCAAUUUGAUUAAGAACCAAAUUAGGAGAAAAAUCACACAUACCCUAAUUUUGCAUGGAAUCACAGAUUGGCCGAAAAAUAUUUUCAAAUCGGACCUUUAUGAUCUUUCCAUGGGCGUAUAUAGAUGAGAAACCGUCUAAAUCUUGAGGAUUACGUCUGAUUUCUCUUGAUUCUAAAUACAGAUACUUGCCAAAAAUGGGGGCAAGUACUAUGUAACAUCAUAUUCUUGUAAGAAACAACAAGAUAAUCCAUAAAAGGUAAGUAAAUCACAGGGGGGAACCCAUGACUUGAUCGAAUUUAUGCCUCUAGGUUUUGGGUUAUGGAGUUAUAAGGAAAUGGGAAGGACUAUUGUGAUCCGUUAAUCAUCUAAGAUUAACGGCCAUGAUUAAAUGGGAAAUGGCGUG
rnacentral:lncRNA from 1 species